AUCCAGCUGACUAGUCCCAAAUAGGAAGGAACGCGCGUCCUGGAU
rfam:Schistosoma haematobium scaffold2145_1, whole genome shotgun sequence.